GCCACCUUCCGCCGCCUCUGCCUAGGCUUCACCCCGCCGAGCGCCGCGGGGGAGGGAAGCUCCGGAGCCGGGAAAGCCGCGCGCGUCGGCGGAGGCGCUGUCGGAGCUCCGGCUCACCCGCGGGGGCGGCCGGGCCGGCAGUCCCUGCUCUGCUGCAUAUUUGAGCAGCUGACUCAGUGCCCGCUCCGCUUUCCAGGGCCCCGCAGCGCAGCGCUGCCCCUUUCACUCCUCACCUCGGCCGCCCCCCGCACUGCCCGGCCUCCCACGCCGCACCUGGCCCGGACCCGCCCCUGAGCCGCGCAGGGACCGAUCCCCGGCACGACUCCGAGGGGACCAGAUGUGGAAACUGAGCCCCAGAGAAACAGAAAUGGCUUUCCUAAAAGCACACCAAGUGCUAAAUGGCUGAAUCAGGAUUCAAACCCACUUCUGAGUCAAGAUGCCGUGGGCUUUCCAUUACAUCGUGCAUUUCUAAAUUCCUGAAACUUCCCCUUUCUUGGUUUUUCUCACAAGUUGGUUUAGUGCAAAGGUCAACUGUAAAAUGAAAGGAAUUUGAAUAACGUUUAAGGUUUCAUGCAGCUCUAAAUCUCUGCUAUAUUUGCACUGAGAUUGGAUUUCCUUAAAAGAUUUAAUAGUCUUGGUAGACACAGCAAAGGACUAAAGCAAGCUCAUGAUCUUUCACAAUUCUCUGGAUUCCGUAGAGCUGACCAUGUGUAGGUGGUAAAAGGAAGUACCUAUUUGGUGUGAAAGUGCUCCUCCUACCCAAAAUUUACCGCUGAGGAGCCAGAAUGCCCACAAUUUCCACCUUAGUCACCCGAAGGCUUUAACACAAGUGAAGACUUCACAAUUCUUCAGAAACUAAAUCAUCAAAGGUCAUUAAUGACCGAAUCACCUGGCCUUUUCUACAUUUUCCAAGAUCUUUCUCCUGCAUUUGAUGGUAACCAUCCUUAUCCUUCUUAAAACCAAUGUCCUUUGCUUCAGUUUCCCUUCUCCUUCUCUGACCUUUGUUUCAGUGACUCUGAAUUUGAAUAACCCUGUGGUUGCCCAUAUGCUAUCACCUUCCAGAAACUCAUGCAUUCCCAUGGCUUCAACUGUUGCUAAGUCUAAAUGUCCACCUUCUCUGCUGACCUUCAGCCAUCUCCAUCAGUCUGAAUAUUUUCACUUGAAGAUGAGACAGUUUCUGAAACAAAACAUUUCAAGGCACUAAACUCAUCUGCACUACUUCCCCCUCCAUAUAUAUGUAUAGAUAGGUUGAGUUGAAUGUAUAUGUAUUGAUAUGUUGGAUUGGGCCUGGAAGGAUGGAUAAUAUUUCUAUUAGUAGAAUGGAAGGGUUAGGAUGUUGCAGUUAGGAGGAAUAAAAUGAUCAAUCAUUUGGAUGCAGAAAUGAGUAUGUAUUCCAGGAAAAUGAAUAUAGGGUGAAAAGAAUGACACAGGUUAAGAAGUGAGAGUGGUAUAUAGGAGUACAUGCAUAUGUAUGUACACACACACACAUAUAUACACUUACAUACAUGUGUCUAUCAGACUUCAGUCUGAUUGGUAUUCAAGAUCCUCCACAAUUUGUCACAAUGUUCAUAUCCAUCUAUAUCUCCCACUACACUUCCAUUUACCACUCUCAAACCUUAGCCUAUGUCAUCAUCUCUCAUCCUAUAUUAAUUCUCCUGCAAUACAUACUCAUUUCUGCCUCUGAAUGGUUGUUCAUUUUAUUCCUCCUACCUGCAACAUCAGACCCUUCCUGUCUAGUAAAAAUACCAUCCACUCUUCAAGGGCUCUCAAUAGAGCCUUCCCUGACUAUGCUAGUUCAAAUGAAUUUUCCCUUCUCUGACUUCCUGUAGCCCUUAAAGGCUAAUUAUCACACAAGAAAGCACUUGAUAUCAUAGUGAUUGAAACUGUUAAAAAUAUAUAUAUUUUGGACAUUCAGUGGGAAUAACAUAGGUAUUUGUUAUACUCCCAGGAGAUCCCAACACGUAUGUGAUCCAGCCUGUUUUAUGAGACUUAAAAGAAAUUAAGGUUUAUAAAGAACUCAGAGAACACUAUUGUGUAGAGUAGAUAUAUCCAUUGCAUCUUCUAUAAGACUCAUAAUGACUUUAACUUUGACAUAUAAUAAAACUAAGAGUAAAAUUAAACUCCAUUAUAUUGUUUGUGCCCCCUACUAGAAUAUAAACUCUAUUAAGGCUGUUUCCAGCUCUGAGAUUCUGUAAUUCUAGGUAUCCCCCCACAUUGCCUUGCACAGUAACCUGUAUAUAGAAGAUAAUAAAUAUCUGUCGAGUGAAUUACGGUUGGGUUUCUAUGAUGCUUCAUGGAACAUGUUCCUUCAUUUUAAGUUGAUUGCUUUGGGAGGUAUAUUAUCUCUUUCAGGUCACUCGUGUACCAUUUACUGUAUGGUUAUAGGACAGAAAUAGCAUCAUUUAAAAAUACCCAGUCAACUCAAUUAUCCACUCUAAUGAACAGGAACAGAAGAUGGAAUGCAUUCAUUGACUGUCAAGUUUUUGCUUCUUAUCCCUUCAUGUUUGCUUUUGGACUUUAGUUUAUAAAACAUCAUAAAAUUCAUUUUUCCAGGCUGCAUCUUGAGGGGAAAAUAUAGCUCCAAACAUCCUUUUUAUACUUCCUCAGAAAGCCACACACAAAGGAUAAUUCAAGACAAGUGAGAGACACAGAAGUUAAAAAGAAGAAAGAAAAAGGAAGAGCAGGAGGAGAGCAAAGGAAGCAAAAAAUAGGAUUAGGAAAUGGCUAAAUUUCUAAUUAAAGCACAAAAGCAAGAACUAGAAUAAAUUGCUUGGAAAGCAAUAAAAUAAAAUGGGUAAAACAUUAAA